CUAUAUACACGUAGAGUGAGAGGGAUUGGAUGGGGUGAUGAAAUUACGCCGCGCUUAUAUUGUAGGUAUACUCGAGCCGAGAUUAUCGAGGCCACUCAACCGCGGUGGCAGGUAGACGGGACGAGCGAGAGAUUCGGUCGGUCCGGUUAUUUAACUGACCGAUAUAUAGAUACGGGGGGGCCUUUAACUAUUAAAAAUCAUUUUGGCCUGCCUGCUCGCUCUCUCUCUCUCUCUCUCUCUCUCUCUCUCUCUCUCUCUCUCUCUCUCUCUCUCUCUCUUGGGUUCGAGUCUCGCGUGGCUAUGCAGGACAGCAGGUAUACAGGUGUGCCGCAGAGGCUGCUCUCUCGAGAGGGAGAGUACAUAGCGCGCGGCGGGGUGCCAUAAUGCAAUAAUUGUUGCUCCUGCAGUUGUGCUCCAGGAUUAUCCGAGGAUUAAGUAUAUAGGUAUAUCGGACUCUCGACAAAUUUUAAUUGCCGGAGACGGGAGACCGAGGGAUGACUCUUUCCCUAAUGGAUCCUUUACGGCGCCCUAUAUAUAUUAUAUACUGCAUGAUAUACGGUGACAGUGAAAACAGCAGCUCUGCGAAUUCCAGCCUUUAUCUAGACAAGCCGACGAUCUACUGGUCCGCGUUUCUCCGUCCAAAUAUUCCGGAGAAUGCGCGCAUCCAGUGCGCAGGUUGGCGCCGAUUUUAAAUUUCGCCUUCAUAGUGAUGAACAACAGGCCAUGCCAACUAGAACACUCUGCAGAAAUCGAUUAAUUAUUAAACGAAGAAAAUUGAGGAGCAAAUCUUCUGCUCGGUGGGCAGGAUAUAGCCUAGAUUCUGCGCAGAAACUUCUUCCACGGGCGACAGUACUUGGGCAGAAUCUGCUCAAAAUUCUGGCAAAAGUUAAGAGACACUAUAAUGUGAGGUUAAAGGGUUAGAAUAUGUACAAAGUACAUAAUACGCAUGCAACUUUUAUUUCAUUAAGUCGUUAAGUUAUGCUAUCUGAGAUAAGCAUAAUAGAUAUAAUUUAUAUUAACAUGACUAGUUAAAAAUGUCUUGUCUACUAAAACGAAACUCAAAAUUACUCAUCGGAAAAAUUGUGUCUUGUCGAGAACGUGAUAUAAAAAUUUCACAUUUUGCUAGGUAUUGAUGUUUACUUUUUUUGAAAACUGAUAACUUAAUUCAAAUGAAAUUCUUUAAUUGGCUGGAUUGGAUAGAAUAUAAAUAUCAUUUUUAUUAGCUGAAACUCAAAACUUUUAUCUCGCACCGACAAACUACAAUAAAUGGUCCAGUAAGUAUAGUUGCGGACAUCAGUCUUGUUAAACAAGACGUUUUGCACAAUUGUCAUGCCAAUAUU